CACGUAGGCACCAAGCGUUGUCCGGAUUUAUUGGGCGUAAAGAGCUCGUAGGCGGUUCAGUAAGUCGGGUGUGAAAACUCUGGGCUUAACCCGGAGAGGCCACUCGAUACUGUUGAACUUGAGUACGGUAGGGGAGUGGGGAAUUCCUGGUGUAGCGGUGAAAUGCGCAGAUAUCAGGAGGAACACCGGUGGCGAAGGCGGGUCUCUGGGCAACAACUGACGCUGAGGAGCGAAAGCGUGGGGAGCGAACAGG
rnacentral:rRNA from 1 species